UAAUAAAUGUAUCGUAUGGUGUGUGUGUGGCAGGCUUACAAUGAUGGCAAAAAACAACAUUUGAGAGUGUGCUGACCCUGCUGCUAGAGGGGGUACGCAGCUGGAGGUUGAAUGUUUGAAGGGGUAUGGGACUAUAAAAAGUUUGGGAACCACUUUUCUAGACGAUUCUGUGCUUCCAACUUUGCGGCAACAGUUUGGGGAAGGCCCUUUCCGGUCUCAGCAUGACAAUGCCCCCGUGCACAAAGCGAGGUCCAUACAGAAAUGGUUUGUCGAAAUCGAUGUGGAAGAACAUGACUGGCCUGCACAGAGCCCUGACCUCAACCCCAUCGAACACCUUUAGGAUUAAUUGGAACACUGACUGCCAGCCAGGCCUAAUAGCCCAACAUCAGUGCCCGACGUCACUAAUGCUCUUGUGGCUGAAUGGAAGCAAGUCCCUGCAACAAUGUUCCAACAUCUAGUGGAAAGCCUUCCCAGAAGAGUGGAGGCUGUUAUAGCAGCAAAGGUGGCUGCAUAUUAAUGCCCAUGAUUUUGGAAUGAGAUGUUCAACAAGCAGGUGUCCACAUACAUUUGGCCAUGUAGUGUAUAUUUUCAGGGUGACCAGGCAUAGACACAGAUAACAAAAAAUGUAUUAAUGUUGUCUGUAGAGAAACACCACCCUGAUGGAAAGAGGGAGAUCGUCUUCCCAGAUCAGACGAUAAAGUUCCUCUAUCCUGACGGCAGAGAGGAGAGCAUCUUCCCAGAUGGAACAGUGGUCAAGCUCUCAGAAAGUGGGGAGAAAACAGUGGAGUUCAACAAUGGCCAAAGAGAGAUCCAUACGUCCCAGUACAAGCGGAGGGAAUACCCUGAUGGAACAUUGAAGACGGUGUAUUCUAAUGGAAGGCAAGAGACCAAGUUCCCCUCGGGCAGAGUACGCAUUAAGGACAAGGAUGGCAUUGUCAUAAUAGACAAGAAAUGAAGAACAUAUGUUUUAUGUUUUUCAAGCCUUUAUACCAAAUUAGCAAUGCUCCAUUGUGUUUGACUGUAGCUAUUUUCCUGUGGCAUAUUUGAUCAUUUUCUAAGUGCUUGUGUGUAAACAGACAUUUUUAAAUUGUGUAUGUUUAUUAUUCAUAAAUCAUUGUACACUAAAUAAGUACUACUAAUCAAUACAAUACAUUUGUGUUGAAACUAUUUUGUAGAGAUCUUUGAAUGUCCAUACUGCUCUCUUGAAGGAAUAUAUUUCUUAUUUUUGCAUGGCAAUGUCAUAACCUUCUUGACCUCUUCAUUUGUGUCAGCAGGAUUCUUAUGUUGCACAGAAUGACAGAUUAUUCAUGAGGUCCCCACAUAUCCCUUGCCUCUCAAACAACAAGACUGACAUGUAGGUUAGGGCUAAUAACUUACUGGCCUGGGCCCGGUUUCCUGCUGAGGAGUAUUUCUGUCUGUAAUAAAGCCCUUUUGUGGGGAAAAACUCAUUCUGAUUGGCGACUGGCUCUUCAGUGUGUGGGACCCCUGCCCAGACAUGUGAAAUCCAUAGAUUAGGGCCUAAUGAAUUAAUUUAAACUGACUGAUUUCCUUAUAUGUAUGUAACUCAGUAAAAUCUUUGAAAUUGUU